rnacentral:rRNA from 1 species
UGGGGAAUAUUGGACAAUGGGCGAAAGCCUGAUCCAGCCAUGCCGCGUGAGUGAUGAAGGCCUUAGGGUUGUAAAGCUCUUUCGCCAGGGACGAUAAUGACGGUACCUGGAUAAGAAGCCCCGGCUAACUUCGUGCCUGCAGCCGCGGUAAUACGAAGGGGGCUAGCGUUGUUCGGAAUCACUGGGCGUAAAGCGCAUGCAGGCGGAUCGUUAAGUCGGGGGUGAAAGCCCGAGGCUCAACCUCGGAACUGCCUUCGAUACUGGCGAGCUUGAGUCCGGGAGAGGUGAGUGGAACUCCGAGUGUAGAGGUGAAAUUCGUAGAUAUUCGGAAGAACACCAGUGGCGAAGGCGGCUCACUGGCCCGGUACUGACGCUGAGAUGCGAAAGCGUGGGGAGCAAACA